AGCGUGGGGAGCAAACAGGAUUAGAUACCCUGGUAGUCCACGCCGUAAACGAUGAUUACUAGGUGUUGGAGGAUUGACCCCUUCAGUGCCGCAGUUAACACAAUAAGUAAUCCACCUGGGGAGUACGACCGCAAGGUUGAAACUCAAAGGAAUUGACGGGGGCCCGCACAAGCAGUGGAGUAUGUGGUUUAAUUCGAAGCAACGCGAAGAACCUUACCAGGGCUUGACAUAUAGAUGAAUAACUAAGAGAUUAGUUAGUCCUUCGGGACAUCUAUACAGGUGGUGCAUGGUUGUCGUCAGCUCGUGUCGUGAGAUGUUAGGUUAAGUCCUGCAACGAGCGCAACCCCUGUGAUUAGUUGCCAACAGGUUAAGCUGGGAACUCUAAUCAGACUGCCGGUGAUAAAUCGGAGGAAGGUGGGGAUGACGUCAAAUCAUCAUGCCCUUUAUGUCCUGGGCUACACACGUACUACAAUGGCUGUAACAGAGAGAAGCAACACCGCGAGGUAGAGCGAAACUCCAAAAGCAGUCUCAGUUCGGAUUGAAGGCUGAAAUUCGCCUUCAUGAAGCCGGAAUUGCUAGUAAUGGCAGGUCAGCAUACUGCCGUGAAUACGUUCCCGGGCCUUGUACACACCGCCCGUCACACCAUGAGAGUUGGGAAUACCCGAAGCCUGUGAGCCAACUGUAAAGAGGCAGCAGUCGAAGGUAGAAUCAAUGAUUGGGGUGAAGUCGUAACAAGGUAGCCGUAUCAGAAGGUGCGGCUG
rnacentral:rRNA from 1 species